CUUCAGGCCUUCAAUGAUCUGUCUGACUUCAUGUCCCAGACGUCCUUGAAGAUGAAGGUGUUACGUCUUCUGCUAAAACUCUGAGGACUCUUCAACGUUUUCAUCGUCCACUCACUGUGACGUCACCCACAGGUGUCCUCAACGUUAGUUUCUUGGUGGCUCCCAUGUUUUAUUCUUUCACAGCAGGAAGUGACCAUAUUUGGAAAAGAAGGUGGAGUCCUAAGUUAUCGGAAGAUUGAGUCACUUUUGGAAGUGGACAUUAGAGGAGCUGCAGCCUUUGACACCGACUUUGUAGCUCAACAAGUGUUUUUGAUGUUUCCAUACAAACAAAGCAUGAUAGUGACCGACAACCAGAGUGUCAGAUGAUUUAACUGUUGUAUUCUCACAUACUCACAGAUGUUAUUCAUUUCUUUGAUCACAAUAGGAUUUGAAUUGCAGCGUGCACCGUCACCUUUAGUGUCAGUGGUUACAAACAAAUGCUUUUUACCACCAGCCAACUUCAAGCUCUCAGACGUCAAAGUACCAAAAACUGCAGUUCCCCAAACAUCCAGUAGGGGCUCCAGUAAUCCCCAGCUCGACAGCAUAUAAAGCUUUUUCUAUUUCUCCCUUUCAUAAUAUCAUAUUUAAAUUUCAUUAAGACUUAAAGUUUGCGCUGUUAGGGGCGUGGCCUCUUUGACUGACAGGUGGAUGGAGACACAGGCGGCUGUAGCUGCUAGCUGUCUGCUAGCUUCACCUCAGCUAACUGGACUCCCUGAACCGGACCUCUGUUUGUGCUGUUGGGCGUUUUUUAAUGACGUCAUGUGACCAAUAAUAUGGCUGCUGGGAGGUCACUGUACUAACAGAGCGUACAACAAGUCUGAGCUCCUUUUUUGGCAAGCACGCCACCCUCUCAUCUGAAUAUGGUCACUCCCUGCCCCAGAACAACAACAACAUGAUGGCGGCUAAAAUGCUUUCAUACACAACAUGCAGCUGUACUGGGACCAUGUGCAGGUGAAGACGCUCCGAGCACAGAGUCAGUAAUCCAGCCCUGAUGUCAGGAAGGCCUACGUGACUCUCCACAUCCUGUGAGGACAGAGCAGGCUUCGGUCUGAUGCUCACUUUGGAGAUUACGGUCCUAUCAGAGUCACAGAGGAGCAGGAAGUGGAAACAGGGGGUUCGAGUGGUCCUGCCUUGUGAUUGGCAGGUACAAAAGGCACCAAAAAAAAGCAGACAGUUAGCAGCUACAGCUGCCCGCAUUGCCAUCCACCUUUAAUACAAAAAGGACACGCCCCUAAUAAUGCAAACUUUACCUUUACAGUGUGUAAACCUUUUCACCACUAUAUGGAUUACAGAUUGUAUCCAACUGAGUUCUGUUUUCUUACCCACUUCAGCCACAUAACUGUAGCUACGGAGGCCAGGAUAGGAGGAUGUUUUAUUCAGCCAAGAGAAAUGAAUAGCCUCUCUCUGUACUCUAAAUUUACGCUGGUGGGCGAGUUCUUUCUAUCUGUGCAAGGCUGUUUACCUCAGCUGGCAAUGCCGCGUGAGGGCUGGGGUUAGUGUAUGCUGAACUGUUGGGAAGUACUGCUGUUAGCAUCUGUUAGCCACUGUUAGCUACUGUUAGCCUCUAUUAGCUGCUCUUGGCCUCUGUUAGCAGAAGCUGAACUAACAUUUUUGGAUGCUUAGCACAGACUGCAUCAGUUUGAUGGACGAUAUAAUUACACAGUAAUUUGUGAGUACAAAAUGUUUGUUCUAUUAAACAACUCAAAAAAAAUUUACUGAAUGUAUUUGUAACAGAAUCUAAACAGUUGUUAUGAAGGAGGAAAUUAUCUACAGAGACCAAACCAGUUUCUGUAUCCAGCUGUAAACAUGAUUAUUUCUUUAAGGGUUGAACAUGGCAGGCAGCUCUCGCCUCUGUACCGGAUGCUGAUUGGAUGUUUCUGAGCAGGUUGAUUAGAAGGUACCCGAGUCUGUGUGGUGCCUUUGUUCAGUCACCUCAGGCUGCUAAAAAUCUAAACGGGGGGGUCAAAGUGCUAAUGCUGGAGUCGAGGAAUCAGUGAGGUCACCCAACAUUUUGUUUACGGCUCACAUUUCUGCUAUCCAGCUAAGGUUUAGUUUAGUUUUUUUCUUUGUUUCUUUUUUAAAAUAUUGAAUUUCAUCAAUAAUUUCAGCCUUUGAAAACCCAAACACCAAUAAUAAUGCUUGUGUUCCGUCUCUGACUGAUAUUCAUUCAUAUUUUUAGCAUGUUUGUGUCAGUUUGUCGACCUCGGCCUGUAUUUUUGCGCAUCUAUGUAAACAGAGGAAGCUGCAGGACGUCUCCUCGGCUCUGAGAGGAAGUUGGGUCAGUCGAGCAGAUAUUUCUUCUCUCGUUUCUCCUUUUUUGUUUCAUCAGUGCUGCCUGAGCUCUUUGCAUCACAAGAGAAACCCACGCCUGUGGUGAAGCUGAGGGUGGAGCAGAGAGGAAGAUGCUCUGACAUGAUUUUUUUCAAUGAGGACUCGUUUCCUCCUGCCGCCACCGUCCAGGGAUAUGAAACCGUGUUUUAAUGUUCAGGACAAACAACGAAGGCCUCAACAUCACACUUAUUACAGUGUUGUUUUUCACUGCAUGUCAUCGUAUCUCCAAACCAAUCGGCUUUGGCGGUUUGGGCGCUAAGCAGAGACACAGGACGUGGUUGGAGGGGAGGGGUGAAGCAGACAGGAAGAAGUUUUAUGAAGGAGGAGACCUUAUAAGGUGAAAGAGACGCUCGCGGAAAUGCGACCAAAGAGAAGUUACUCAACCUCAAAACCUCCAUCGUUACAACAGAAAGCACAGACGUUUCAAAUCCAACCCCCCAGAACAUGAGGCGUUCACUGACCUGUGGCCUUCCGGUCCGAUGCACUGAUGAAGAACUCGAGAUCCUCCACAUGGAGAACUCAGUGAAUACUUCAUGUCUGUGCAGAACUCUGGUGAUCAGACUAAAGGUUAGCGAGUGCACAGUGAAUCAGAGCCACACUGUGGUAAACACAGUAAACCUGGGGUCAGUGGUGUGGAUAUGCUGGGAGCUCUCUGCCACACUUUUACAAACCCCGGUAAUGAAAAGGUUAAACUGCCACAGAAGUUCUUGUAGAAACAGCAGAGUUCGAGUUAACAGCAGCUCAGAAUGUCAUGACAGAGGAGGACUUCUUUUAGGACCUCAAAGACGUCUCGCUCUCUAAAACCUCCCUGAAGAAGACACCCUGUUCCUCCCAUACUGGCUUCUCAUCAUUGGCUCAUUGGCUCCCUAUUCAAUCCAGAAUCGAGGAAUCUGGGUGCAUCUUCACUCACUAUGAGUUUAUACACCUCUCUGCAUUGAAUCAUUAUCAUCCUCCACAGCGUCUUUGUCCUGUCUUCCUCCCCUCACCCCACCCGGUAGAUGGCCCCGCCCCUCCCUGAGCCUGGUUCUGCUGGAGGUUUCUUCCUGUUAAAAUGGAGUUUUUCCUUCCUACUGUUGCCAAGUACUUAAUCGUGGGGCACCAUCUGAUUGUUUGGGUUUCCUCUGUAUUCUUGUGGAGUCUUUACCUCAGAAUAUAAAGCAGGUACAAUAAGUAUUGAACACAUCACCAGUUUUUUGUAAAUAUAUUCUUUAAAAGGUGCUGUUGACAAGAACACACAUGCAGAAAAACCAAACCACUGAUGAAGUUAUGUGUGAUAAUGAGAAAUGACGAGUUGAACACUGAGGUGUAUAAAAGGCUUUGUUGGUGAUGACAGCUCCUGUAUGGAGAAACAGGCUUUGCUCCUAUGAAUGCACUGAUGUUUUUCACCUUUCUGUGAGCCUUACUGCAUCAUCCUAGGUGUUGUCAUGGUAACAGCUGGACAGCCAAUCAUACAGACAAUCAGCUGUCAGCACACCUAAACCAAACAUUCCUCUUCGUUUGAAUCUUUAAUGUUUUGUUUUUUUAAACAUUUGACUUCCAUUGGUCAGAGCAUCAUUUCAUGCUGCUUUCCUAUUGGCUGGUUGUUAAAGGCGGUCAUGCUUCCAUCUUUAAUCAGAACACCAACAUGUCUGCCGUCAUUGAAGGUGGAACCUUCACCUGUGAAAACUUUCUCCCUCCAAACGGCUUCUGAGAAAUCAUCCGGCGGCCAUUUUGAUGCAUUUAGGGAACACCUGUAAAUCGUAGCCUCUGGAAAGUCUAAUGCUUCUGAACAGGCUGUGCUGUACUGUUACAGUUUUUGCCCGUUGCUUAAACACUAUAAACCCAUGCUUAGACUAAAGUAACACAACUUGAAGCUUGUAUUACCAUACCUCAAACACAUGUACCCAUACCUUAAACAAAAGCGCUGCUUUGCACUCUAGUUGCAAUUAUGCAACACACUUACUCCUUCAUGCAACACACAUGGUCCUGCAUACUACACUCUAUUUCAUACAUAAGAUGCUUCGUUCAAAAAUGAAAUUUCAGGGUGCCAUUUGGAAAACACAUGUAUCCAAAACACAAAACACAUCAGGUAAUUGCAACCACUCAAAUACACACCUGAAGGCACUUACUUGCAAAACUGAACACCAAUCAGCCAACUACAAAAAGCCCUCAGUUUAGCCAUUUCAAGAACUUUGCAAGCACGGAUGGAGGGGGAGGAGGAGGAGGAGGAGGAGGAGGAGGAGGAGGAGGAGGAGGAGGAGGAGGAGGAGGAGGAGGAGGACGACGACGACGACGACGACGACGACGACGACGACGACGACAUGCUCGGACCCAUAUUUCUGAUGAUAUAAGAGCAACUUUGGUGGACCAUGUCAUCAACCAUGGCCCGACCAUGAGGGAAGCUGGGCAGAGAGUCCACCCACAUCUAAGCCGCUUCACAGUGGCAUCUGUAAUAAGAACAUUCCGACUAGAAAACAGGUAUGUCGUCACCUCUCUACCUUCUACUCUACUCAGAUGGUUCUUAUAGCACUGUUCUACAGUAUAUCACAUGACCAUAUCAAGUGUACAGGAUAUUGCAGGGUGCUAAUGCUCCUUCUGCAGCCAAAGUGGUAGUUUUUGUGAAACAUACCAUGAUUACUUAUAUUGAAGUACAGUGUUGUACAGUGGAUGAUACAGUAUAUACAGUAAAGUACUGUAAGAAAAAUAAGCAAACCGAUGACAAUAUGUGGUUGUACGUCUCUAGAAUGACUCGUAGACCUUCUGGGGGAGGACGCCAACGCCUGUUCACACAACAGCAGGAACUUGCCGUUGUGGACCUAGUGAGGGCAGACAAUGCCAUCCGUCUCCACCAGCUACGAAAGACAAUACUUGCAGACAGGCAAGUGUUCAACAACAUAACCCAUGUGAGCAUCACCACCAUCAGACGCAUCUUGGGAAAACACAGCAUCACCAUGAAGCAGCUCUACAGUCCCAUUUGAGAGGAACAGUGACAGGGUCAAAGGACGUCGAGCUGAAUAUGUACGGAGAAUCUUGGCCAUGGAUGGAGCUGCACAGCCUCAUGAAUUCAUUUUCAUUGAUGAAGCUGGAUUCGACCUGUGCAAAACAAGACGACGGGGUCGUAAUGUAAUUGGCCAAAGGGCAACUGUGCACGUCCCAGGGCAGCGCGGGGGAAAUAUCACAUUGUGUGCCGCCAUAAGCCUUCGAGGGCUUCUGCAUCAUCAUGCAAAACUAGGUCCAUACAAUAGCCAACAUAUACUCAUAGUAUAUUUCCCAGUGUUGUGUCAUGUUUACUUGUGUUUAGAGUUUUGGCACAAUGAGCACAGUUUUGCAAAAUCUGUUCAAGCAACGGGCAAAAACUGUAAUAAAACUGAGGAAGCACAUGAAGCCCCGAAUUGGUGUCAGACUGCCCUGUGCUGCCCCCUGCUGGUUACCACCCUCCUGUCCCUCAGAUCAGUGAACUGAUAAAUGGAGUAACAGAUUAUUAAAGGUGUUUCCACUCAUCUGUUUUUUACAUGUUCUUCCAUAACGAUGAGAAAAAAUGGAAUAAUCUCAAAUAAAAUAUAUUGUUAGCACAAAAUUUUUUUUUUAUGUCAUUAGCAGAUAAAUUCACAAAAUGUAGUCUUUUAACAGCCGGAAAGAUUCAAAGUUAUUCUACAGGUCAUUUAUGACUCCAAAUUCACAACUUCCAACCAGCUUCAUUUAAACAGGCUGAACAGACGCAGGUGU